rnacentral:rRNA from 1 species
UACGUAGGGGGCAAGCGUUGUCCGGAAUCAUUGGGCGUAAAGCGCGUGUAGGCGGCCCGGUAAGUCCGCUGUGAAAGUCGGGGGCUCAACCCUCGAAUGCCGGUGGAUACUGUCGGGCUAGAGUGCGGAAGAGGCGAGUGGAAUUCCUGGUGUAGCGGUGAAAUGCGCAGAUAUCAGGAGGAACACCGGUGGCGAAGGCGGUUCUCUGGGCCUUACCUGACACUGAGGAGCGAAAGCGUGGGGAGCGAACAGG